AGAUCGGAAAAGCACCUCCAAGUUAAUCACUGGGCGUGAUGGGUGUUCUGUUGUUGCUUUCUGUUUUCUACACCCUACGCUUCUCCACAGUCGACUUUGUGUGCCUGGAAGGGCUUUGCACAAGGGAAAGAUUGCGAGUUACGCAAAAUACGCAGAACACCCGUAGCUAGCAACGACUCCGAGGGCGCUGGGGGACCGCCCCAGGGUGACAUCCCUAAAUGAGCUCUGUCUUGGUAGACGCAGAAUCACCCUGGUAGCUCACCUGUUCAGGUUUCCGGGCUCCGCGCCUCCUUCCCCGCGUAAAGCCUGGAGGGGGUGCGCUUCGGAUAAAUUGGAAGUCGGGCCUAGGCGUCCCUCUGCGCAAUCUUGGGGAGGCCUGGCUUCCUUCUGGAAGAUGUGCCAGCCGAAAUCUCCGGAGUCCAACUAAGCCGAUUUCUGUUUGCUGGUCUCCCCUGGCGUCUCCAACUUCCUGGAGCAGGGGGGGCGGUAGCACAGAGCUCGAAGUGCGUUUUGCUCCAGCGGGAGGACGCCGCGGCGAGUAGGUGCCAGGCUUACUGCCCUAGGUGAAUGGCCAGGCAGGCUCUCCCGCCUAGUAGCCUUUCCUUCUCGGCGCGUCCUUUUUCCCUGCUAGCGUUGCCCGCGAGCCUCCAGGAGAUAGGACCUCGGCUUCUCACCCUAAGACAUUGAGUUUCCCUACGCGUCGGUCCUCCGCGCGCGCGGAAAAAGACAUCUGCCCACCUGCUGGUUAUUCGCCAAGUGAUUCAAGAAACCAGAACCCCGGGGCAGCGGGAAGGAAAAAAGAAAAAAAAAAAACAAAACCCAAACCCAGGAGGCGGCCACUGGUGCCACAGGUGCAGGUAGGAAGUUUGCGUUCCCGCCCUCCGGAGACGAGAUUGGACCAGGUCGCAUACGUGGCGCCAGCCUUGGGGUGUUUGAUUGGAGAAAGGCUGUGGUGCGCCGCUUGCGAGUCGGAGUCCUGAAAGAAGAAAGCGUAGAGGAGAGAGGAGGCCAGGAUACCGAGGCUGUAGGUGGGCUCCGAUCUGGAAGUCUGUGCAUAGCCGCUGCACCCAAGGAGUCCAAAUCCAGCCCUGAGCUGGAAGUGAGGUGUACCUGUGGACUGUAUCAAGGUUCAGGAGGCUUUUGCUCUCAGACCCAUAUGGGUACCUUUCAUUGGUUGAACAGAAAGUCUUUGACGUGGGGCAUUUUCACUAAUGAAGGCAGAGGUGCAACCAGCUGCAUCUUCCAGGAUGCCUCUCUUUCUCAAAGAAGUACUUUGAUGUUCCCCGAGCUCAUGGACCAAUCGAAGGACUGGAUAUGAAGCAACUGACAUCCCAGCCUCUUCAGGACUUUCUGAGGUGGUGCAAGU
rnacentral:lncRNA from 1 species